UACGGGAGGCAGCAGUGGGGAAUAUUGGACAAUGGGCGAAAGCCUGAUCCAGCCAUGCCGCGUGUGUGAAGAAGGUCUUCGGAUUGUAAAGCACUUUAAGUUGGGAGGAAGGGCAUUAACCUAAUACCUUAGUGUUUUGACGUUACCGACAGAAUAAGCACCGGCUAACUUUGUGCCAGCAGCCGCGGUAAUACGAAGGGUGCAAGCGUUAAUCGGAAUUACUGGGCGUAAAGCGCGCGUAGGUGGUUUGUUAAGUUGGAUGUGAAAGCCCCGGGCUCAACCUGGGAACUGCAUCCAAAACUGGCGAGCUAGAGUACGGUAGAGGGUGGUGGAAUUUCCUGUGUAGCGGUGAAAUGCGUAGAUAUAGGAAGGAACACCAGUGGCGAAGGCGACCACCUGGACUGAUACUGACACUGAGGUGCGAAAGCNGUGGGGAGCAAACAGGAUUAGAUACCCUGGUAGUCCACGCCGUAAACGAUGUCAACUAGCCGUUGGGUUCCUUGAGAAUCUUAGUGGCGCAGGCAANCGCAUUAANGUUGACCGCCUGGGGGUCGCACUGGAAA
rnacentral:rRNA from 1 species